CCUACGGGUGGCAGCAGUGAGGAAUAUUGGUCAAUGGGCGCGAGCCUGAACCAGCCAAGUAGCGUGAAGGAUGACUGCCCUACGGGUUGUAAACUGCUUUUAUAAGGGAGUAAAGUGAGGCACGUGUGCCUGUUUGUAUGUACUGUAUGAAUAAGGAUCGGCUAACUCCGUGCCAACAGCCGCGGUAAUACGGAGGAUCCGAGCGUUAUCCGGAUUUAUUGGGUUUAAAGGGAGCGUAGAUGGGUUGUUAAGUCAGUUGUGAAAGUUUGCGGCUCAACCGUAAAAUUGCAUUUGAUACUGGCAGUCUUGAGUACAGUUGAGGUAGGCGGAAUGCGUGGUGUAGCGGUGAAAUGCUUAGAUAUCACGAAGAACUCCGAUUGCGAAGGCAGCUUACUAAACUGCCACUGACGUUGAGGCUCGAAAGUGUGGGGAGCAAACAGGAUUAGAUACCCUUGUAGUC
rnacentral:rRNA from 1 species